GCGCUAGUAGCUCAAUUGGAUAGAGCAUCAGACUUCGGAUCUGAGGGUUAGGGGUUCGAGUCCUCUCUGGCGUACCA
rnacentral:tRNA from 3 species